rnacentral:ribozyme from 1 species
UGCCCAGCAACUCCUAUCCCUACCUCCUCGUCGUACUGGCCGGGGUACGAGUAACCUUGGGGAAGAUCGGGUAGCCAAACCCCGGUGGGAACUCUGGUCGUAUGCUGGGAAGG